rnacentral:lncRNA from 1 species
AAUUUAUUCGGUCAAGCUAGUGACGUUAAAGAAGCGCUUGUUGGGAGGCAACCCAGUUCUCUGAAUUGUUACUUUUAAUUUUUGUUUUUGUUUUUGGUUUUAAUUUGUGUUUUUUUUAUUUUAUUUUAUUGUGCUCUGCUUGAAUGAACUAAACUGCUUUGAUUCAAAUGUGCUCUAUUUGUGUGUGAUGGGUUUGCUUUAUGAGAUUUUAGUGUUUGAUUGAAGUUGAGAUGAUGCGUGAUGAUGAAUCCCAAUUUGUGAGACAGGUGCUUG